GUUUUCCUCUGCAGCCGAAUCUUUGGACAUUUAUUAAAUGCUGCCUGAAAUGUCAUCUGAGGGCAGGCUUUGUACCUCUUGCUUGCUAGCAGUGGUGCCCUGCUGCAGAUAGCUGCAUCUACUUGAAUGAGAUUGUAUGCUUCAUAAAAUAUUCUUCAUGGUGAGAGAAGAUAUUGUGUGCUGGGUGUUUAUGGGAUGUUUAAUACAGUUAUUCUUAUAUUACUGACUUUUAUGUCUUCGCAAACAGCUACAAUAUCUUCUCGAUGGGCUUCUGUUGUUUUCCUUCAUGGCUUGCUGACACGCUGAGAAGAGAUCAGACAUGUUUUUAUGUUAUUGUAACAAAAAGAGUUCCAUGGAAAUGACAGUGGGUGCUCCGUGGAAGCCCCCCAGGAGGUCAGAAACCAUCCCACAGAUGAAGGAAGGCAGCACAGGCGGGACCCGCUCCUAGGCCGCUGCUGCGGCCCAGCGUCCCCUCGCUGUCUGGUGGCGGCCAUCUCGUGCCAACCUGCGAGGCAAAUCUGAUAACGGCGACACAAACUGUCAGGAGAAUUGGUGGGCCAGAGGAAUACCUGCCACUACUCAUUUGGCUGAAGAGGAAGAGCUUGCAAGCUCCCUGGUGCUGUCAGGGACUGUGGAAAUCCCUGUGGCCAUGGGGGCUGCUUCUUUGGGUGGUUCAGCAUUUGUAAGUGCAACUGCAGCGCCCUGUGGCAUAUGUUUGUAAGCUGUGAAG
rnacentral:lncRNA from 1 species